GUGGGGAAUUUUGGACAAUGGGCGAAAGCCUGAUCCAGCAAUGCCGCGUGCAGGAUGAAGGCCCUCGGGUUGUAAACUGCUUUUGUACGGAACGAAAAGCCUGGGGCUAAUAUCCCCGGGUCAUGACGGUACCGUAAGAAUAAGCACCGGCUAACUACGUGCCAGCAGCCGCGGUAAUACGUAGGGUGCAAGCGUUAAUCGGAAUUACUGGGCGUAAAGCGUGCGCAGGCGGUUUUGUAAGACAGUGGUGAAAUCCCCGGGCUCAACCUGGGAACUGCCAUUGUGACUGCAAAGCUAGAGUGCGGCAGAGGGGGAUGGAAUUCCGCGUGUAGCAGUGAAAUGCGUAGAUAUGCGGAGGAACACCGAUGGCGAAGGCAAUCCCCUGGGCCUGCACUGACGCUCAUGCACGAAAGCGUGGGGAGCAAACAGGA
rnacentral:rRNA from 1 species